UAGUGUGAUUGUCUCCGACCCGGGCCGCCUAAAGGCUUGCGCCCAAGGCGGACGGGCGGUGGGCACCGGCCAAGGGGCCGGUGGACCCCAAGGGCCGUCCUGGAAACGGGGCGACCUCCCGGCUUUGGAAAGGAGGCAACGUGACCGCUCA
rnacentral:ncRNA from 1 species